rnacentral:rRNA from 1 species
GAGCCUGAUCCAGCCAUGCCGCGUGCAGGAAGACUGCCCUAUGGGUUGUAAACUGCUUUUAUACGGGAAGAAACCCAUCUACGUGUAGGUGGCUGACGGUACCGUAAGAAUAAGCAUCGGCUAACUCCGUGCCAGCAGCCGCGGUAAUACGGAGGAUGCAAGCGUUAUCCGGAAUCAUUGGGUUUAAAGGGUCCGUAGGUGGAUUGGUAAGUCAGAGGUGAAAGCCUGCAGCUCAACUGUAGAACUGCCUUUGAUACUGCUAGUCUUGAAUUAUUGUGAAGUGGUUAGAAUAUGUAGUGUAGCGGUGAAAUGCAUAGAUAUUACAUAGAAUACCAAUUGCGAAGGCAGAUCACUAACAAUAUAUUGACACUGAUGGACGAAAGCGUGGGGAGCGAACGGGAUUAGAUACCCCGGUAGUCCACGCCGUAAACGAUGGUCACUAGCUGUUCGGAUUUCGGUCUGAGUGGCUAAGCGAAAGUGAUAAGUGACCCACCUGGGGAGUACGUUCGCAAGAAUGAAACUCAAAUG